UUCAGUGUCCCCUGAGAGAGCAGCCAGCUGGCAGCAGUGCAGAAAGCAGUAAACACAUUGACUUUCUCUAUUGGCAGUGCUACGUCCAUGACGUUCAAGAAGACUGGGUCUCUGUGUCGAGGUAGCAGAGCCACUGUGACUUUGCAUCAAGCUCAAGAGUAGGCCCGAUUCCUGCUGUUUGCUGUCUAUGUUGGCCUAAAGAACCCCGACUAAUCAGAUGGCAGCUGUAAUGGCUGAAGCAAGCACAGGACUCGGCACUCUCUGCACGUCCUUUUGAGUCCUCAGGCUCAGGCUGAACAUCACAUUUCUGCAUCCAGCUUAUGGAUCAAUACUGCACUGAUAGUUAAAUAACAAGUAUUUAUUGUGUAUUUAGUCUCGUCUGCAGUGGUGACGUAUUUCACAUGUUCAUUUAUUUAAUCAAUAAACACUUACUGGCUAUCUACCGAA